rnacentral:rRNA from 1 species
UACGUAGGGGGCAAGCGUUGUCCGGAAUCAUUGGGCGUAAAGAGCGUGUAGGCGGCCCGGUAAGUCCGCUGUAAAAGUCAAAGGCUCAACCUUUGAAUGUCAGUGGAUACUGCCGGGCUAGAGUCCGGAAGGGGCGAGUGGAAUUCCUGGUGUAGCGGUGAAAUGCGCAGAUAUCAGGAGGAACACCGAUGGCGAAGGCAGCUCGCUGGGACGGUACUGACGCUGAGACGCGAAAGCGUGGGGAGCAAACAGG